GAUUAAGUUAUUAAGGGCGCACGGUGGAUGCCUUGGCACUAGAAGCCGAUGAAGGACGUUACUAACGACGAUAUGCUUUGGGGAGCUGUAAGUAAGCUUUGAUCCAGAGAUUUCCGAAUGGGGAAACCCAGCAUGAGUUAUGUCAUGUUAUCGAUAUGUGAAUACAUAGCAUAUCAGAAGGCACACCCGGAGAACUGAAACAUCUUAGUACCCGGAGGAAGAGAAAGAAAAUUCGAUUCCCUUAGUAGCGGCGAGCGAAACGGGAAGAGCCCAAACCAACAAGCUUGCUUGUUGGGGUUGUAGGACACUCUAUACGGAGUUACAAAGGACGACAUUAGACGAAUCAUCUGGAAAGAUGAAUCAAAGAAGGUAAUAAUCCUGUAGUCGAAAAUGUUGUCUCUCUUGAGUGGAUCCUGAGUACGACGGAGCACGUGAAAUUCCGUCGGAAUCUGGGAGGACCAUCUCCUAAGGCUAAAUACUCUCUAGUGACCGAUAGUGAACCAGUACCGUGAGGGAAAGGUGAAAAGCACCCCGGAAGGGGAGUGAAAUAGAACCUGAAACCGUGUGCUUACAAGUAGUCAGAGCCCGUUAAUGGGUGAUGGCGUGCCUUUUGUAGAAUGAACCGGCGAGUUACGAUUUGAUGCAAGGUUAAGCAGUAAAUGUGGAGCCGUAGCGAAAGCGAGUCUGAAUAGGGCGUUUAGUAUUUGGUCGUAGACCCGAAACCAGGUGAUCUACCCUUGGUCAGGUUGAAGUUCAGGUAACACUGAAUGGAGGACCGAACCGACUUACGUUGAAAAGUGAGCGGAUGAACUGAGGGUAGCGGAGAAAUUCCAAUCGAACCUGGAGAUAGCUGGUUCUCUCCGAAAUAGCUUUAGGGCUAGCCUCAAGUGAUGAUUAUUGGAGGUAGAGCACUGUUUGGACGAGGGGCCCCUCUCGGGUUACCGAAUUCAGACAAACUCCGAAUGCCAAUUAAUUUAACUUGGGAGUCAGAACAUGGGUGAUAAGGUCCGUGUUCGAAAGGGAAACAGCCCAGACCACCAGCUAAGGUCCCAAAAUAUAUGUUAAGUGGAAAAGGAUGUGGCGUUGCCCAGACAACUAGGAUGUUGGCUUAGAAGCAGCCAUCAUUUAAAGAGUGCGUAAUAGCUCACUAGUCGAGUGACACUGCGCCGAAAAUGUACCGGGGCUAAACAUAUUACCGAAGCUGUGGAUUGUCCUUUGGACAAUGGUAGGAGAGCGUUCUAAGGGCGUUGAAGCAUGAUCGUAAGGACAUGUGGAGCGCUUAGAAGUGAGAAUGCCGGUGUGAGUAGCGAAAGACGGGUGAGAAUCCCGUCCACCGAUUGACUAAGGUUUCCAGAGGAAGGCUCGUCCGCUCUGGGUUAGUCGGGUCCUAAGCUGAGGCCGACAGGCGUAGGCGAUGGAUAACAGGUUGAUAUUCCUGUACCACCUAUAAUCGUUUUAAUCGAUGGGGGGACGCAGUAGGAUAGGCGAAGCGUGCGAUUGGAUUGCACGUCUAAGCAGUAAGGCUGAGUAUUAGGCAAAUCCGGUACUCGUUAAGGCUGAGCUGUGAUGGGGAGAAGACAUUGUGUCUUCGAGUCGUUGAUUUCACACUGCCGAGAAAAGCCUCUAGAUAGAAAAUAGGUGCCCGUACCGCAAACCGACACAGGUAGUCAAGAUGAGAAUUCUAAGGUGAGCGAGCGAACUCUCGUUAAGGAACUCGGCAAAAUGACCCCGUAACUUCGGGAGAAGGGGUGCUCUUUAGGGUUAACGCCCAGAAGAGCCGCAGUGAAUAGGCCCAAGCGACUGUUUAUCAAAAACACAGGUCUCUGCUAAACCGUAAGGUGAUGUAUAGGGGCUGACGCCUGCCCGGUGCUGGAAGGUUAAGAGGAGUGGUUAGCUUCUGCGAAGCUACGAAUCGAAGCCCCAGUAAACGGCGGCCGUAACUAUAACGGUCCUAAGGUAGCGAAAUUCCUUGUCGGGUAAGUUCCGACCCGCACGAAAGGCGUAACGAUUUGGGCACUGUCUCAACGAGAGACUCGGUGAAAUCAUAGUACCUGUGAAGAUGCAGGUUACCCGCGACAGGACGGAAAGACCCCGUGGAGCUUUACUGUAGCCUGAUAUUGAAAUUCGGCACAGCUUGUACAGGAUAGGUAGGAGCCUUUGAAACGUGAGCGCUAGCUUACGUGGAGGCGCUGGUGGGAUACUACCCUAGCUGUGUUGGCUUUCUAACCCGCACCACUUAUCGUGGUGGGAGACAGUGUCAGGCGGGCAGUUUGACUGGGGCGGUCGCCUCCUAAAAGGUAACGGAGGCGCUCAAAGGUUCCCUCAGAAUGGUUGGAAAUCAUUCAUAGAGUGUAAAGGCAUAAGGGAGCUUGACUGCGAGACCUACAAGUCGAGCAGGGUCGAAAGACGGACUUAGUGAUCCGGUGGUUCCACAUGGAAGGGCCAUCGCUCAACGGAUAAAAGCUACCCCGGGGAUAACAGGCUUAUCUCCCCCAAGAGUUCACAUCGACGGGGAGGUUUGGCACCUCGAUGUCGGCUCAUCGCAUCCUGGGGCUGUAGUCGGUCCCAAGGGUUGGGCUGUUCGCCCAUUAAAGCGGUACGCGAGCUGGGUUCAGAACGUCGUGAGACAGUUCGGUCCCUAUCCGUCGUGGGCGUAGGAAAUUUGAGAGGAGCUGUCCUUAGUACGAGAGGACCGGGAUGGACAUACCUCUGGUGUACCAGUUGUCGUGCCAACGGCAUAGCUGGGUAGCUAUGUGUGGACGGGAUAAGUGCUGAAAGCAUCUAAGCAUGAAGCCCCCCUCAAGAUGAGAUUUCCCAACUUCGGUUAUAAGAUCCCUCAAAGAUGAUGAGGUUAAUAGGUUCGAGGUGGAAGCAUGGUGACAUGUGGAGCUGACGAAUACUAAUCGAUCGAAGACUUAAUCAA
rnacentral:rRNA from 1 species